rnacentral:rRNA from 1 species
CACGCCCUAAACGAUGAUCACUCGCUGUUGGCGAUAUAUUGUCAGUGGCUAAGCAAAAGUGAUAAGUGAUCCACCUGGGGAGUACGACCGCAAGGUUGAAACUCAAAGGAAUUGACGGGGGCCCGCACAAGCGGAGGAGCAUGUGGUUUAAUUCGAUGAUACGCGAGGAACCUUACCAGGGCUCGAACGCAGGAGGAAUACUCCCGAAAGGAAGUAGCCAGAAAUGGCCGCCUGCGAGGUGC